GUUGUCUCAAUAGUACCAAAGUGUUAGAGAAGGUUUGUGAGCUCAACCAUAAAGCUCUAGUUUGGUUUUAUAGAGUUUCCGGGAAAACUCUUAGGUUGAGUCUACCUUUAAAGAUUUCAGAGGUUUUAAGAGUUCCUUGAUACUCUAAGGUACUAACUUACCCGUAAAAGUUAGAGGUUCUUAAGAGUGCCCUUGAUACUCUAAGGUGUGAGUCUACCCGUAAAAGACUGGUUCCUAAGCGAAGUAGCCAUAAAGCUUAGAGAGGUUUUUAAGAGUUCCUUGAUACUCUAAGGUACUAACUUACCCGUAAAAGUUAGAGGUUCUUAAGAGUGCCCUUGAUACUCUAAGGUGUGAGUCUACCCGUAAAAGACUGGUUCCUAAGCGAGGUAGCCUUAAAGCUUAGAAAGGUUUUGCCAUUACCUUUAGGCGAGUGAAUUCCGGCUGUUGGUCGGGACUGGACUAGCCCUUGUUUGGGUGAACCAGUAUAAAUCUCUUGUGUUGUUCUCUGUUAAUUAUAGUUCUAUCUUUUACUUAAAAAACAACACUUAAUUAAAAAGAUCCCUCUUCCAGUUACCUGGUCAAACACAGAGGUUGACUACUUUACGCAGAUCCC
rnacentral:lncRNA from 1 species